AUGAACGCUGGCGGCGUGCCUAAUACCUGCAAGUCGAGCGAACAGACGAGGAGCUUGCUCCUCUGACGUUAGCGGCGGCCGGGUGAGUAACACGUGGAUAACCUACCUAUAAGACUGGGAUAACUUCGGGAAACCGGAGCUAAUACCGGAUAAUAUAUUGAACCGCAUGGUUCAAUAGUGAAAGACGGUUUUGCUGUCACUUAUAGAUGGAUCCGCGCCGCAUUAGCUAGUUGGUAAGGUAACGGCUUACCAAGGCAACGAUGCGUAGCCGACCUGAGAGGGUGAUCGGCCACACUGGAACUGAGACACGGUCCAGACUCCUACGGGAGGCAGCAGUAGGGAAUCUUCCGCAAUGGGCGAAAGCCUGACGGAGCAACGCCGCGUGAGUGAUGAAGGUCUUCGGAUCGUAAAACUCUGUUAUUAGGGAAGAACAAAUGUGUAAGUAACUAUGCACGUCUUGACGGUACCUAAUCAGAAAGCCACGGCUAACUACGUG
rnacentral:rRNA from 1 species